rnacentral:rRNA from 1 species
UACGUAGGGACCAAGCGUUGUUCGGAUUUACUGGGCGUAAAGGGCGCGUAGGCGGCAUGACAAGUCACUUGUGAAAUCUCCGGGCUUAACUCGGAACGGCCAAGUGAUACUGUCGCGCUAGAGUGCGGAAGGGGCAAUCGGAAUUCUUGGUGUAGCGGUGAAAUGCGUAGAUAUCAAGAGGAACACCUGAGGUGAAGACGGGUUGCUGGGCCGACACUGACGCUGAGUGCGCGAAAGCCAGGGGAGCAAACGGG